rnacentral:rRNA from 1 species
CAAUAGCGUAUAUUUAAGUUGCUGCAGUUAAAAAGCUCGUAGUUGGAUUUCGGGUGGGAAUGGCCGGUCCGCCGUUUCGGUGUGCACUUGCUACGCCCACCUUGCUGCCGGGGACGUGCUCUUGAGUUCACGCUCGGGACACGGAGUCGGCGAGGUUACUUUGAGUAAAUUAGAGUGUUCAAAGCAGGCCUACGCUCUGAAUACAUUAGCAUGGAAUAACACGAUAGGACUCUGGCCUAUCUUGUUGGUCUGUAGGACCGGAGUAAUGAUUAAGAGGGACAGUCGGGGGCAUUCGUAUUUCAUUGUCAGAGGUGAAAUUCUUGGAUUUAUGAAAGACGAACUACUGCGAAAGCAUUUGCCAAGGAUGUUUUCAUUAC